GAUGAACGCUGGCGGCGUGCCUAAUACAUGCAAGUCGAGCGAACAGAUGAGGAGCUUGCUCCUCUGACGUUAGCGGCGGACGGGUGAGUAACACGUGGAUAACCUACCUAUAAGACUGGGAUAACUUCGGGAAACCGGAGCUAAUACCGGAUAAUAUAUUGAACCGCAUGGUUCAAUAGUGAAAGACGGUUUUGCUGUCACUUAUAGAUGGAUCCGCGCCGGAUUAGCUAGUUGGUAAGGUAACGGCUUACCAAGGCAACGAUGCGUAGCCGACCUGAGAGGGUGAUCGGCCACCCUGGAACUGAGACACGGUCCAGACUCCUACGGGAGGCAGCAGUAGGGAAUCUUCCGCAAUGGGCGAAAGCCUGACGGAGCAACGCCGAGUGAGUGAUGAAGGUCUUCGGAUCGUAAAACUCUGUUAUUAGGGAAGAACAAAUGUGUAAGUAACUAUGCACGUCUUGACGGUACCUAAUCAGAAAGCCACGGCUAACUACGUG
rnacentral:rRNA from 1 species